UCAACCCAUUUAACCUUCUAACCCAUCAAAUUAAAUGAGUUCAUGGGUUGACUCAACUCAUUUACUUAAAUGAGUUGAGUCAACCCAUGAACUCAUUUAACUCUAAACUCAUUGGGUAAUGAGU
rnacentral:pre_miRNA from 1 species